GAUGAACGCUGGCGGCGUGCCUAAUACAUGCAAGUAGAACGCUGAAGGAGGAGCUUGCUCUUCUGGAUGAGUUGCGAACGGGUGAGUAACGCGUAGGUAACCUGCCUGGUAGCGGGGGAUAACUAUUGGAAACGAUAGCUAAUACCGCAUGACAACAGUUAUUGCAUGAUAACUGUUUAAAAGGGGCAACUGCUCCACUACCAGAUGGACCUGCGUUGUAUUAGCUAGUUGGUGAGGUAACGGCUCACCAAGGCGACGAUACAUAGCCGACCUGAGAGGGUGAUCGGCCACACUGGGACUGAGACACGGCCCAGACUCCUACGGGAGGCAGCAGUAGGGAAUCUUCGGCAAUGGACGGAAGUCUGACCGAGCAACGCCGCGUGAGUGAAGAAGGUUUUCGGAUCGUAAAGCUCUGUUGUAAGAGAAGAACGAGUGUGAGAGUGGAAAGUUCACACUGUGACGGUAUCUUACCAGAAAGGGACGGCUAACUACGUGC
rnacentral:rRNA from 1 species